AUUGAACGCUGUCGGCAGGCCUAACACAUGCAAGUCGAGCGGAUGAAGGGAGCUUGCUCCUGGAUUCAGCGGCGGACGGGUGAGUAAUGCCUAGGAAUCUGCCUGGUAGUGGGGGAUAACGUCCGGAAACGGGCGCUAAUACCGCAUAAGUCCUGAGGGAGAAAGUGGGGGAUCUUCGGACCUCACGCUAUCAGAUGAGCCUAGGUCGGAUUAGCUAGUUGGUGGGGUAAAGGCCUACCAAGGCGACGAUCCGUGACUGGUCUGAGAGGAUGAUCAGUCAUCAUGGAACUGAGACACGGUCCAGACUCCUACGGGAGGCAGCAGUGGGGAAUAUCGGACAAUGGGCGAAAGCCUGAUCCAGCCAUGCCGCGUGUGUGAAGAAGGUCUUCUGAUUGUAAAGCACUUUAAGUUGGGAGGAAGGGCAGUAAGUUAAUACCUUGCUGUUUUGACGUUACCAACAGAAUAAGCGCCGGCUAACUUCGUG
rnacentral:rRNA from 1 species